AUUGAACGCUGGCGGCAGGCCUAACACAUGCAAGUCGAGCGGAUGAAGGGAGCUUGCUCCUGGAUUCAGCGGCGGACGGGUGAGUAAUGCCUAGGAAUCUGCCUGGUAGUGUGGGAUAACGUCCGGAAACGGGCGCUAAUACCGCAUACGUCCUGAGGGAGAAAGUGGGGGAUCUUCGGACCUCACGCUAUCAGAUGAUCCUAGGUCGGAUUAGCUAGUUGGUGGGGUAAAGGCCUACCAAGGCGACGAUCCGUAACUGGUCUGAGAGGAUGAUCAGUCACACUGGAACUGAGACACGGUCCAGACUCCUAAGGGAGGCAGCAGUGGGGAAUAUUGGACAAUGGGCGAAAGCCUGAUCCAGCCAUGCCGCGUGUGUGAAGAAGGUCUUCGGAUUGUAAAGCACUUUAAGUUGGGAGGAAGGGCAGUAAGUUAAUACCUUGCUGUUUUGACGUUACCAACAGAAUAAGCACCGGCUAACUUCGUG
rnacentral:rRNA from 1 species